rnacentral:lncRNA from 1 species
GAGCCCCAAAUGCACCGUACUCAAAGACAAAACUGAAGGAUGAAAAUAGAUCAGCAAAUCAAAUUGGGUCUGAAAGGCAAGACUGGAGAAUGGAAGGACUUAAUUUGAAAAUCAUAUAAAACUUACGCUGGGGGGCGCUGUAUCUCUCUAUGCGUUCACUUAUGUGUUUUUUAAAAAAAGCGGUUUUGUUACCUCACACUUUAUAAUCAUCAUUCUGUGUCAAGCGUGGAAUGAGACGUCAUUUUUAAUGGCUGCAGCAUAUUGUGUUGUAGAGUUUUCAUGAUUUAUUUAACCAGCCCUCUCCUGAUGACCAAGUUCCAGGAAGGUGAAGUUAUCUGGCCAGGAGAUCCAGAGUCACACCUCGAGUGGACUGCGUGGGGCUGCAUUCAGCGAGUGCACUAGUUCAACUCUAAGCCUCAAUUUUGGAAAAUGGAGUCAUAAUACCUAUCUCAUAGGAUUGUCUGAAGUCCAUGGAGUAUGAGUUCAAAAAGAAAAAAAAAAACUAUAAAUCUGCUGGAAGAAGGAAACACUCAGGUUCCUGAACAGAUCGGUGUGGGAAAGACCUGACUGACAAUUAGGAGAUGAACGAUCAUUUGGGGAGAAGCGAGCUUGCUUAGCUGCAGAGUCUAUUAUGUAUUUGGGUACAUUAUUGUUUCUGAGUAACUCUUUGUUCCAGACUGAUCCACUUGGCAUGGGUACCCGGCCGCCCAUUUGUUUUCUUCCAAAGGCUUUGAAAAACAUGUUCGUCUGCUGUUGCAUCAUAGUUGCGGCUCAUUAAAUGCCUCCUGCAGGAGACAAGCGCAUACCUUGGUUUCCCUCUGUGCAAGAAUGAGCGUGUAGAUAAAGCAAAGUCAUUCGACACCUUCCCCAGCAAUCAUGGAGUCGUUAGUAGAUAUUACUUGGCGAGCUUUUCUUAGUCACUGCUGAUGCACACACUGUCACAGUCUGAAUUACUCUGUGAGUCCUUCUGAUGUCUGAAAGCCGGCCAGCCUUACUGUUAGGGUUUACUCUGUCAACUGGACAGCUACGUUACCAAGUCUAAUUACACACAUUGAAAAAAAAAACGAAAAUGUCCUCAUAUCAAGCUGGAAAUAGAAGUCAAGGUAUAACAGAAAAGAGAGGCUUUUAAUUAAAUCAUGUCAGUUACCUUU